CUUUGUUUUUAAUGGGGUUCUGGAAUAUAUCUUUAUGAUAAUAUACUGCACAUUUUUUCAUCACAAUGUGGUCAAUAAAUUAUUAUUUUUUUAUAAGGAGGCAUAUAUGUGAUAUUGCAACAUAAAAAUACCCAACAUAUAUUCUAAUCAGGACACAGGCAACAUAUUCUCAGCUUAUAGAGGAAGGGGCAUCAUUUAAAACAGAAAAAAGUUAAUAAAUGGUAUUU